rfam:Zootermopsis nevadensis contig13457, whole genome shotgun sequence.
AACCUGGCCCUUUUCAGGGCCCCAAUCACAUUCAACCAAACUCCCG